UGUUUGUCUUAAGUGUAUUUCUGUUUCAAUGUUUGUCUCAAAUGUUUGUCUGACUAACCUUUAGACUUCAGAGAAAACAAAAAGAAAUAAUAAUCAUAGGAUAGAAAAAAAUGAAAAUGAAUUUAUUGAGGAAUAAAUGACUGGUUUUAGAGAUCAAAUGUUUAACAGGAAUGAAUAACUAAAUAAUGGUAUGAUUAAUGUUGUACAGAAUAUGCAAAUUACUUUUAUCUAGUAUUGGGGGUAGAGGUUACGGGGAAGGACCCCAAAGGUCUAAUUUAGGUAGAUAUAAUCAAAUUAUCAACGCGUUGAAAAGUAGGUCACCAAAACACUAAGAGACCUUCAUGGUAAAUGAUGCGAAUACUUUGUUCUGGAGAUGAUUUCAAAAAUUAUGGAAAAUAACGGUUUGAACAUAUCUAACAUUGGCUCCUAGUUAACGGACAAUAAAUUAGCAACUAACUGGGUUACAAUAUAAACAUGAUUUUUGGGUUAAAGGUGAGAAGAUGCCUCUGUUAUAUUAUCUACAUAUAAGAUUUUCUUGAAAACAGGUAUUGCAGCAUUUCCUGUUUCCCAACAAGCCCUAAAGGAGCCCUAAAGUUAUUGAUUUUAUGGGUGCUGACAACAGAGUGAAAGGAUGUAGAAAUGUGCUUGAUACUUUCACCAGGUCGGCUGAGAAAUAAUCACACAAUCAAAAAACGAUUGGCUAAAGUAAUACAAAAAUGAAGUGGCUGGAUGCGCUGCCCUUGGUGAUGCUUUACAUCAGAUCAUCACCCACUGAGCUCAUGGGUUUAACUCCCCAUCAGCUGCUGACAGGAAGAACCAAACCCUGACCUUUCACCUCCUUUCUUCAGUCAGGUUGUGCACCCAGUCUGGAUUCACAGAGAGAGCAACUGACAUGUUCAAAGAUUUUAAUCUGCUGUGAAGUUUUUGUCUCAUAACACACAGGAGGCUCUAACCAAAGAACCAACAGGAGAAACAAAUGGAGCUCUGAAUGAGGACAAAACUAAGGUAAGCAGAUCAUAUAGCAGGAAGGUAGAGCAAUCAUCUGAAGGAAACCUCAGAGAAAUCAGAAAGCAUCUGAGGAAGAACACAUGAAUAGAUUCGAUUGGGUAUCUUUUGACUUAACAUUUAAUUUCCAGCUAACACAUCAUAAAUGUGCUUGUGGAAUUAAAUUAAUUUAUUCCAGUAACCAUAAGGUCAUAAGGUAAGAUUAACUCAUCUUUUUGCUUUCAACUAACAAAAUACAAUAAUGUGGAACCUGUUUCAUAAAUUUUGAGUGGGCUGGGUUACUUCAACAAAGGGAAUGUGAUAAAGAAAUUAAUAAAAAUUGUAUUUGUUGGGUUAAAGCUUGAUGUCCUGGUAAAUUUGAAAUAAGGUCACAAAAUCAAAAGUCGGAGGGGAGAAGGAUUUCUAAAGUAAAACUGAAUAAUCAAACAAAUGUUUACUUCUGUGAAUGUUGGAAAUUGUGGAAUAAUUUGCAUGAAGGGUUAAAGGAGUGUUCAACUAUUUAAUCAAUUUGAAUUGCUUCAUGAACAGAAAUUAUAACUUCCUGUGUGCUUCUGACUUAUUUAUUCAUAGAUUAUGUUGUUUACAACGUAGAUUGUAAAUUAACUUGAUACAAGGCCUUGAACCUUUACUUGCUGCUGAACAGAACUGAUUUAUGGGGAAUAAUUGCUUUGGGGGUGACUCCCUAUGGACUGGACAGGAAAGAUGUUCCCUGGUUUCCCUCUCUAUCCAGGAUGCCCUGACACCGAUUGGCCUACUUCGUCAGGGGGAACCUUUCAGAAAAUGUGUUUUUAAAUUUGAUAUGUCUGCUAGAAUACAAACUGCUUCCUGUUAGAACUGAUUCUAAUCUUUUAAAUGUCAUAAUGUUUUUAACAGCUUUGACCCACAUGCAGUAGGCAAUCAGGAGACAGAGAAAUAACGGCAAGGAUUUUAUGUACAGGAAUACAGGUAGGUGCAGGGAACUGGAACCGGGAUCCCAACUGUAAGAUAAGUAGAAUGGUAAGCAGGAGGAAAUUCCUGAGUAAAUAUUCUAAACAAUAAAUCUGUCUUAAGAACAAUGGUGAGAUCCACCAGAGGGGGGUGGAGAGACCAAGAGGUUGUGUACCCGUGAGACUGGAGAAGAUGAGUAUUGGAGUGCAAGGGUUUUAGUUGACCCUAAGGCUCUGGUGAUGGUGCUGCAGACGAAGGAGGGUGGACAGAGUUCGCUAGAGGAGGUCCAAGGAAUGAUGGAGUCAGGAAGCUGCCAGCCGAUUUAGUCCAAUGAAGAAACAGGAGGCUUGGGUCUUUGUUCAUGAAGCUGGAGAGCUCAUCUCCAGAAGUCAACAAUCCAAAACAGCGUUUGAUGCUGAGGUCGAAGUCAGGUUCAAUAUUUAGUCCUGCAAAGUAGCACAUCCAAAGAUUACAAAGAGGCAAAGAUAAUUGGUGGCUUGCCCUUAUACCACUAAGGGUAACACUCUGGCAAUGAGUUGCUGGCAGCCUCCUCCUUAAAUACCCCUCCGGUGAUGAUUAUAUUAUAUUGUAGAUAUGUUUAUACUGUUUAAUUUGUAUUGUAUUGCACCGACUAUGCCAAAACAAAUUCCUUGUAUGUCCAAAAACGUACUUGGCGAUAAAGCUUUUCUGAUUCUGAUUCUGAUUCUGAUCAGGGAAAUGGGGAACACCGGUCACAUCUCCUCCAAGUUUCCAACGCCAUCUAGAGGCUAAGCACAGUAAACAGCACCAACACACAGACAUGGCACACAGAUCCUGACAUUAAAUAACACCACGGCAAAACAGGAGAGACAGCUGAAGGCUGUGUAACCAGGAUGUUGAAAUUAUUUCUUGUCAAAAUAUAACAGCUUUGGAUAUGAUCCUAGCAAAAGAAAAACGGUUGUGUGGUGUUUUUGGAGAGAAUUGUUGUUCUUUUAUUCCCAACAAUUGCAGCACCUGAUGGAUCUCUAUCAAAGGCCCUAAAUGAAUUGCAAUCACUGUCCAUCGAAUUAAAAUCGCACUCAGGAAUCGAUGAACAACUCACAAAAAUGUUUGAGACGUGGUCUGGAAAAUGGGGAAACCUACUGGUGUAUUGAUCGUGCGAUUGGUUCCAGUGAUACCAGACGUUUGAGAUUACCAGAAUAUCAAAUGGAUGUGGUGCCAGAGCACACACUGAUGUUGUCCACUGAAUAUUUGAGCACAAGUGAUGAUGUGGAUCUCAUGGAACCAAACCAAAGUGUUGGAGAAAUUAUUAUACUGUGCUAUGAGGAGGAGGAUGAAACUCAUUGUUCAGAGCCAGCCUGAAAAUGGGAGCAAAAUUAAAUCACAGCCAUAAAGCGAGGAUGCAACACCUGGCCUUGCCCAAGACCAACCAGGAAUGGGGAGCCAAGGAUGCCACACCAGGAGGACGACCAACCCUUUCCUGUGGCCUGGAGGGGGACCGGACAGACGACUGCAAUAGAUAAUUGAACAGGGUCUACAAUUCAGGGCCUACAAUAUACUUAUAUACAUUGUGCUGCUCAUUUCCGCUGUACUUCUAGGUUUUUAUUAUUUUUGUUGUUUUUAAUUUU